CUACGUGAACUAGUUUCAUUCUGGCUGGGCUCCUGGUGGAGGGAAAAGAGAAGAACUGUAAGCAUGGUUGCUAAUAAAAGUCAGAGGCGGCUGAAAACCAGCAGGAUUUCCAGAAUACCCCCAGCGGCUUGCACUAGGAUUUAGCAAACCCAUGAUAUUAGAGCGAGCUGGCUAUCAGACGCAUCGUUUCCAAACUCCAGCAAGUGUUUUGCUGCCUGGAAGUUUAUCCCCUGAUAGCUCGUCUUCCCACUUCACACGCAGAACCAGCUAGUUCUGGAUCUUAUGUUGUAAACUGCAGCUGAUGCCAAGAGCCAGUGGAAGACUCUGCAGCGUAACUCCAAGCUCUUCAAAACAGUCCAGAUUUAGUAGAUUUUUACUUCCUCUCCACCUCCCCUGCAUCUUUUGUUGUUGUUGUUGUUGAGGGAGGAAAAAAAAAUAGUUCUUACCUGACAGUGAGGAUAAUCCACUGAGACAAAUGUUCUUGUAGUAGCGAUCCGAACUUGCAGGGUUUCCUGAGGAGGGAGAACUCCUUCUUUGUGUGUCUGAAGUAACCACUGCCGAGCUGCGCUCUACCCCUCCCUUUUAUAGAGCGCGAGCUCCCGUGGGUGGACCCUUGGCUGAGCCAGUGGGGGGGGGGGCCCAAGCACUUCAUCAUUCUAGCGUGGGUUAGGGGUGACCCAUAGUAGGGUAAAAAUAAGAGGAUUGUUAAAAAUUAUUUUAAAUAACCCCCUUGGUAUUUUGUUAAUUAUAACGACAGCUUUUAGGUCUGGAUUCCGAGUCAUGGCAUAACUUGCAAAAUCUGAUAAGCCCCUCAGUCUGUUUUACUGGGGACAGACUUUUUAACUGCCGAUAUAUAAUUAUGUUUACAUGGUCUGUAGCAUAAUUUCUCAUUCUAGGCAUCUUCGCUUCAGAUGGGUGGAAGCAGGGGAGUGGGAACUAGACUCAACCAACUUCAAAAUCCAUGCAAAUCCAUCAGAUACCAAAGUUCCUAACAUAAACCCAUAUUUGGACAACGUGAAUUAUGAUGAGUAAACUGUAAUGAAUGCCAGCCUUCUUUACACAAGUAAGGAGGUGACAAAUCAGGCAUCAUUAAUAUUUAUGACUCAACUUGGGUGCAUUUUUUAUCUAAUAAAGUGUAUUUGAUUUACUGGACCGAUUCAAAUAAAUCACAAUUCAAAUGGUUUUGGAAGGUGAGGGUUAGAGCGCACUUCUGUACCUUUGAACAAAGGAAGCGGGAUUGCUUUGGGCCAAACACAGGGUCACUGAAAUGCUUGGGGUUAUGGACGUUGGUGAAGACUUGCCGUGCGUCAUUUUAUCCCCAGUCCGCAAACCUUUAUACACGUGAGCGCGCUUACUUCCCCGGUUAUAAAGCUAAACUAGGAUCAAGGCAGGAUCAAGGUCUCUAACAGCGUUCUUCCGGCUGGGCAGCAGCAAAACCUUAGUCUGCCCACCUUUGCUUUUUUGGUUUUUUUUUUUUUUUUUUUUUUUUUACAGUCUUUAACAUCUUUGCUCCGUGGCGCUUCAGAAAUGCAGAGGUCCGGCUUCGCAGGGGGUGCUGGAAGCCAGCACCAGAUGGACUGUUUCUCUACCUACGUGUCGCAAUGCAAAUUCAGCGGAACCGGGGGAAAUGCCCCAGGAGACCUGAGCUCUGGGGCGUCAGGGUCCCCUUCCCAGCGAGGGCUACUCCGGAGGAGGGAAUGAACUGGCGUGUGCGAGAUGUUUCUCUAACAUCUUGCCCCAAGCAAAGCGUUUAAAAAAUCUGGCUAUAUGAAAUCAGCAGAAAGGUGAUGAUACUAACAGAAGAACGACAGCCCAUGAAGGAUGUAAAACCUCAGUCAAGCUCCACACAGAAAAACCUUGGUGUUAGUGCAUGCACUCAGCCAGCUUUGUCUGUGCCAAGGGCACAGUGACAAAGAGUGAUCCCAUUUCUUGGUAGUCCCACUGGAGGUGCUUUCAGUGAGCCUUCCAUCUGAUAGGUUUGAGUACGCCAAACUAAGCUUCCUAAAUGAGGGUGGGAUGCAUAUUGGUAGGGGAAAACCUGGUUGGGGUCAUAGCUGCUUCCCUGUUCUGGCAUAGGGGUGGGGUGACACUGGAUUAAGGGAGUGCAGGCAGAGUGUGACCUUUAUAUUUCCUCAAGGAGGAGUUGACUGUAGAAGGUACUGAGAACGUUCGCACCUUUUUGGUAGUAAGUGCACAGUCUGAGUGUGGCAACAUUGUCCCUUGUGUGCUUUCAGUCUCCUGGAGGGGCUGCAGCCCCACAGUUCUUCCCCUGGGAUAAAUAUAUGGCUGCUUACUGAGUCCUUCUGGAGACCUAGGACUUGAUGUCCUCCCAGAGCCGCUGCUCUGUCAGCCCCUUCAUCUCCCAUGAGGAGCCAGGCUACUCUGCUGCAACAGAGGGAAUUACGGUUUUGAUGGUCUGGAUGAAAGUUCAGUUUACUUUGCAUUAGACUUCAGGUGAGCAAACAAUCUGCUCCACUUCCUCGUUUGUCCUAUAAGAACGUAAGAUUGUUCUAUACGUAAGGGAGGUUAAGGAAGUAAGUUACGGAUGACUGACUCCUUUUGCUGUCCAUGCCGGUACACAGCUCUCUUCAAACCCAGAUGAACUGUUACAUGAAUACUUGAGAUGUGCCACUUCUUAUGACAUGCUUUAGAAAUGAACCAAGCUUUGGCUAUAUUGGUCGAGAUGGAAGAAGGAGCAAGGCUGUAAAGUGGGCGCCAGUAGUUUUGGGGAAUCAAUAAGUAACAUCUUCCUUUUGAUCUAGCAUUUGUUAAUGCCCUGGGAAAAGUGUUAGGUGAUACUCUCCUGCUAGAUGUGCUGGCUUAAAAGAGCAAUGAGACUUAAUUACUGAGAUUUGUUAUUGCAUAUUGAACCUUUUUAUGAGUGCAGAUAAGAUAACUCUAAGGUCCCACUUCAACUCCAAAUUCGGUUGUUUCAUCGUGUCUCUAAACUGUCCCUCCAGGUUUAGCUGUAUAGAACAUUAUCCCUUGCAUUAUCUUUUGUAAACUGUUGCAUGUCCUGGCUUUGUGCUGUUGAACAGCUGCAGCAUCCCCCUCCAGGAGUUAUGGCGAUGAGCUUUAUCCUUGUCCACCUCACAGGGGUAAUGUGUGGCUUCAUUAAGAUUUGCAUUCCUUUGUUUCUACUUCAGAAAUGCUUUUAAUCAAAAAGCUCAGUGUUUUGAAAACAGUUUUGCAGGUUUCAGUCAUUAAAGUCUCCAGGAUCACGAACCAAAA